GUAGACGAUGGGCCUCCACUAAAAGUCCUGGUUAGGUUCAAUCAUUAAUAUGAAUCUACUUAGUGAUUUUGAUUAAUGAAUAAUUAGGCCCGAGUAUGGCUCGACCAAACCAACUAUUCAUCAGAUAGUAUAAUAGAGUCAUCAUAUGAUAAAUAAUAAUUCCAUCAUUCAGAGAAACACCAGACGGAUGGUGCCUGCAAUGUCAAUUAGAAAUAAUGGACCCAUUAUCAUUCAUCUUAAUGGGAGGCU
rnacentral:lncRNA from 1 species